UACGAAGGUCCCGAGCGUUGUUCGGAAUCACUGGGCGUAAAGGGAGCGUAGGCGGUGCGGCAAGUCAGAUGUGAAAUCCCGGGGCUCAACCCCGGAACUGCAUCCGAUACUGCCGUGCUAGAGGAUUGGAGAGGCAGCUGGAAUUCACGGUGUAGCAGUGAAAUGCGUGGAUAUCGUGAGGAACACUCGUGGCGAAAGCGAGCUACUGGACAACUCCUGACGCUGAGACUCGAAGGCCGGGGGAGCAAAAGGG
rnacentral:rRNA from 1 species